ensembl:lncRNA
AGCACAGCUGGGGGCAGAGGGUGGUCUAUAAGCAGGCGGCAACGGUGAGAGACUUGUUUUUAGAGAGGUGGAUUUUUAAAAGUAGAAGUUCAAAUUGUUUGGGUACAGACCUGGAUAGUAAGGACAGAACUCUGCAGGCUAUCUUUGCAGUAGAUUGCAACACCGCCCCCUUUGGCAGUUCUAUCUUGUCUGAAAAUGUUGAAGUUUGGAAUUAAAAUUUCAGAAUUUUUGGUGGUCUUCCUAAGCCAGGAUUCAGACACAGCUAGAACAUCCGGGUUGGCAGAGUGUGCUAAAGCAGUGAAUAGAACAAACUUAGGGAGGAGGCUUCUAAUGUUAACAUGCAUGAAACCAAGGCUAUUACGGUUACAGAAGUCGUCAAAAGAGAGCGCCUGGGGAAUAGGAGUGGAGCUAGGCACAGCAGGGCCUGGAUUCACCUCUACAUCGCCAGAGGAACAGAGGAGGAGUAGAAUAAGGGUGUGGCUAAAAGCAAUAAGAAUUGGUCGUCUAGAACGUCUGGAACAGAGAGUAAAAGGAGGUUUCUGGGGGCGAUAAAAUAGCAUCAAGGUAUAAUGUACAGACAAAGGUAUGGUAGGAUGUGAAUACAGUGGAGGUAAACCUAGAUAUUGAGUGAUGAAGAGAGAGAUAUUGUCUCUAGAAACAUCAUUGAAACCAGGAGAUGUCAUCGCAUGUGUGGGUGGUGGAACUAAUAGGUUGGAUAAGGUAUAGUGAGCAGGACUAGAGGCUCUACAGUGAAAUAAGCCAAUAAACACUAACCAGAACAGCAAUGGACAAGGCAUAUUGACAUUAAGGAGAGGCAUGCUUAGUCGAGUGAUCAAAAGGGUCCGGUGAGUGGAGAGGUUGGUUGGGUUAGCAAGCUAGCAUAGGAUGGAGGUCUGUUAUUAGCCACCUCUUGCGUUCCGUCAGUAGAUUUGUGGGGUUCCGUGUGGUAGAGGGGAUUAAUCCAAAUCACACAACAACAACAAAAAUAAAAACAAUAGAUAUAGUUUUAGAGGCCCAAGAAAAAAUAAAAUAAUAAUAAAAAUAAAUAAAUAAAUUGUCCGAUUGUCUAUUCAGAUAGCAGCCGAUAAGACACCUAACGGUUAGCAGGCCGCAGAUGGGCGUUCAGGUAACGUCGCGACGGAGGAGCCAGCCGGAUAACUCCUUCGGGUAGAUAACGUCGGCAGUCCAGUUGUGAAGGCCCGGUGGGGCUCCGCGUAGGCAGUAAAACGGGUCCGGAUAGGUGACUGCAGCCCAGGAGUGAUUGAUGGAACUCUUCAGCUGGCUAGCUCCGGAAUAAUUGAUGUUUGCUCCGGAAUCGACGAAAGCCGAUAGUCACACGGAUAGCAGGUAGCUAGAUGUGAGAUCCAGGUAUGAAUGUCCAGAGUUCGCGGUUGAAAUCCAGGGACAUGGAGAGAAAAAUUGGUCCGGUAUGUUUCCGUUCCGAGCCGCGCCGUACAAAACUGGCGAUAGAUUUUCGAGCUAAAGGAUAGCUGAUGACCACAAACCGUGGUUAGCUGAAUACUAACGAUUUGCCAGUAAAGAAGCGAACUAGCUUCUGAACUAGCUUCUGGACUAAUUUCUGGAUUAGCUUCUGGCUAGUUUCUGGCUAGCUUCUUGGAGGAUUACAGAUGAGGCCCAAGACAUAAAGUUGCCUGAAAGCUGUGUAGCAAUAAUUCCUGCUCCUGACCCAUAGGAUGGUAAUCACAUACAUGAUUGGCUUAAUCAAGAAUCAUGGAUACCUUUCAUACCCUCUCAUCACAAGUUGGAACUAGUGGUCAACAUUGGGACAAUGCAGCCCAAAAUAACAGGGCUGAAUAUUUUCAUGGAGGUAAGCACUACACUUCUGAUGGGUUUAAAGAUUGUAUUACAUUAUCUAAAAGUGAGAAAGUA